rnacentral:tRNA from 1 species
GCCUUUGUGGUGUAGUAGUCAGCAUACUCGGCUCUAAUUCGAGAGGUGUGUGGUUCGAGCCCCGGCGAAGGCA